rnacentral:rRNA from 1 species
UACGGAGGGGGCGAGCGUUGUCCGAAUUCAUUGGGCGUAAAGCGCGUGUAGGCGGAUGGGAAAGCCUGGGGUGAAAGGUUGGAGCUCAACUCCAUACAGUGCCCUGGGGACUUCUUGUCUGGAGGCAGGCAGGGGACCGUGGAAUUCCUGGUGUAGCGGUGGAAUGCGUAGAGAUCAGGAAGAACACCCGUGGCGAAGGCGGCGGUCUGGGCCUGUGCUGACGCUGAGACGCGAAAGCGUGGGGAGCGAACGGG